rnacentral:lncRNA from 1 species
UUCCUCGUGUUUCCUGAUCCUGCCUUGGGUCUGUAGUCAUACUUCUGGAAAUUCCUUUUGGUUCCAAGACGAGGAGGUUCCUCUAAGAUCUCAUGGCCCUGCUUCCUCCCAGUCCCCUCACAGGACAUUUUCUUCCCACAGGUGGAAAAGGAGGGAGCUACUCUCAGGCUGCGUGUAAGUGGUGGGGGUGGGAGUGUGGAGGAGCUCACCCACCCCAUAAUUCCUCCUGUCCCACGUCUCCUGCGGGCUCUGACCAGGUCCUGUUUUUGUUCUACUCCAGCCAGCGACAGUGCCCAGGGCUCUGAUGUGUCUCUCACAGCUUGAAAAGCCUGAGACAGCUGUCUUGUGAGGGACCGAGAUGCAGGAUUUCUUCACGCCUCCCCUUUGUGACUUCAAGAGCCUCUGGCAUCUCUUUCUGCAAAGGCACCUGAAUGUGUCUGCGUCCCUGUUAGCAUAAUGUGAGGAGGUGGAGAGACAGCUCACCCCCGUGUCCACCGUGACCCCUGUUCCCAUGCUGACCUGUGUUUCCUCCCCAGUCAUCUUUCUUGUUCCAGAGAGGUGGGGCUGGAUGUCUCCAUCUCUGUCUCAACUUUAUGUGCACUGAGCUGCAACUUCUUACUUCCCUACUGAAAAUAAGAAUCUGAAUAUAAAUUUGUUUUCUCAAAUAUUUGCUAUGAGAGGUUGAUGGAUUAAUUAAAUAAGUCAAUUCCUGGAAUUUGAGAGAGCAAAUAAAGACCUGAGAACCUUCCAGAA